GAGUUAUGAAAAUUCAUAAAAAAUUCAUCAGCUGUAUGUCAAAUGACUUAUGAUGAGUAAAUGGAUUCCUAAACAGCCAAUAAAUCAAGUUAAAGAGUAUCUGGUUAUGAAAUACUCAUUUUACUUCACAUGGUUAAGAUUCUACACACAUCUGCUGUAUUUUUUUAAUGACAUGUUCACCUUUCUUAAUAAUAGAUUUAGUUGAGAUAUUUGUAAUGCAACAGACACAAUAAUGUGCCAUUGUGUGACCGUACAUGUUCUAAAUGUCUAUUUGGGCUACUCUAUUUCUUGAACUGUGGAAAUGAUAUUUAGCUUCCAUUACAUAUUUCUGGGGAUUAACAGGAUUCACUUUUGAAGCUUAACAUCCAAGGGCAUAAUACUUCGCACAUUUAGCUGGAUUAUACCAAUGUGA